AUUGAGGAAACCUGUUAAAGGUGCCAGUAAUGCUGUGGAAGGAUCUGAGAGAAGAAGGAGAAAAGUGGGAAUAGCCAUAAAGGAGGUUACUCACAGAUAGCUGUGAAGAAAUGAGACAGAAAAGACACUGAAAGGCCGCUCUCAGGUCUCCCUGGAACCUUCUCCAGGCUGAACAGCCCCAGCUCUCUCAGCCUGUAGGAGAGAUGUUCCAUUCAGUCGAUCAUUUCUGUGGUCCUCCGCUGGAUGCGCUCCAACAGAU
rnacentral:lncRNA from 1 species